UACGGAAGGCAGCAGUGGGGAAUAUUGCACAAUGGGCGAAAGCCUGAUGCAGCUAUGCCGCGUGUAUGAAGAAGGCCUUAGGGUUGUAAAGUACUUUCAUCGGGGAGGAAAAAACAAAACUAAUAAUUUUAUUUCUUGACGUUACCCGAAAAAGAAGCACCGGCUAACUCCGUGCCAGCAGCCGCGGUAAUACGGAGGGUGCUAGCGUUAAUCAGAAUUACUGGGCGUAAAGAGCACGUAGGUGGUUUUUUUAAGUCAGAUGUGAAAUCCCUGGGCUUAACCUGGAACUGCAUUUUGAAACUGAAAUACUAGAGUAUCGUAGAGGGAGGUAGAAUUCUAGGUGUAGCGGUUGAAAUGCGUAGAUAUCUGGAGGAAUACCUGUGGCGAAAGCGGCCUCCUAAACGAAUACUGACACUGAGGUGCGAAAGCGUGGGGAGCGAAACAGGGAUUAGGAUACCCGU
rnacentral:rRNA from 1 species